UACAGAGGUCCCAAGCGUUGUUCGGAUUCAUUGGGCGUAAAGGGCGCGUAGGCAGCCUGCUAAGUCGGACGUGAAAUCCCUCGGCUCAACCGAGGAACUGCGUCCGAUACUGGUGGGCUUGAAUCCGGGAGAGGGAUGUGGAAUUCCAGGUGUAGCGGUGAAAUGCGUAGAUAUCUGGAGGAACACCGGUGGCGAAGGCGGCAUCCUGGACCGGUAUUGACGCUGAGGCGCGAAAGCUAGGGGAGCAAACGGG
rnacentral:rRNA from 1 species